GCGGAUAAACGAGUUAGUUUGGUGUGUAGCCCGUAUUUACUGGGUUUCGGCGAUUUUCGGAAUUCGAGUCAACGCCGAGAAAUAUGCCAUCUUGAUGAUUUGUAAUCAUCAGGUGGCGGGUUCGAGUCCUGCAGCCGCACCA
rnacentral:tRNA from 1 species